rnacentral:rRNA from 1 species
AUUGAACGCUGGCGGCAGGCUUAACACAUGCAAGUCGAGCGGGGGGAGGUAGCUUGCUACCGGACCUAGCGGCGGACGGGUGAGUAAUGCUUAGGAAUCUGCCUAUUAGUGGGGGACAACAUCUCGAAAGGGAUGCUAAUACCGCAUACGUCCUACGGGAGAAAGCAGGGGAUCUUCGGACCUUGCGCUAAUAGAUGAGCCUAAGUCGGAUUAGCUAGUUGGUGGGGUAAAGGCCUACCAAGGCGACGAUCUGUAGCGGGUCUGAGAGGAUGAUCCGCCACACUGGGACUGAGAACCGGCCCAGACUCCUACGGGAGGCAGCAGUGGGGAAUAUUGGACAAUGGGGGGAACCCUGAUCCAGCCAUGCCGCGUGUGUGAAGAAGGCCUUAUGGUUGUAAAGCACUUUAAGCGAGGAGGAGGCUACUUUAGUUAAUACCUAGAGAUAGUGGACGUUACUCGCAGAAUAAGCACCGGCUAACUCUGUGCCAGCCGCCGCCGUAA